GUAGGGGGCGAGCGUUGUCCGGAUUCAUUGGGCGUAAAGCGCGCGCAGGCGGCCGGCAGAGCCCGGCGUGAAAGCUCCCAGCUUAACUGGGAGAGGUCGUCGGGGACCUGGUGGCUAGAGGCCGGUAGGGGUGAGCGGAAUUCCCGGUGUAGUGGUGGAAUGCGUAGAGAUCGGGAGGAACACCGGUGGCGAAGGCGGCUCACUGGGCCGGUCCUGACGCUCAGGCGCGAAAGCGUGGGGAGCGAUCCGGAUUAGAUACCCUGGUAGUCCACGCCGUAAACGUUGGGCGCUAGGUGUGGGGCUCUUUCCACGAGUUCCGUGCCGCAGCAAACGCAUUAAGCGCCCCGCCUGGGGAGUACGGCCGCAAGGCUA
rnacentral:rRNA from 1 species